rnacentral:rRNA from 1 species
UACAGAGGUCUCAAGCGUUGUUCGGAUUCAUUGGGCGUAAAGGGGUGCGUAGGUGGCGCGGUAGUCGGGUGUGAAAUUCGGAGCUUAACUCCGAAACUGCAUUCGAUAACUGCCGUGCUUGAGGACUGGGAGAGGAGACUGGGAAUUUACGGUGUAGCAGUGAAAUGCGUAGAUAUCGUAAGGAAGACCAGUGGCGAAGG